GACGACGCUGGCGGAAUGGAUUAGGCAUGCAAGUCGAACGAUAUUUAUCCUUUCGGGGAUAGAGACAGUGGCGAACGGGUGAGUAACGCGUGGGGAUCUACCUCUAAGCGGGGGACAACUCAGGGAAACUUGAGCUAAUACCGCAUGUGGCAGUAAUGCUAAAGAUGGCCUCUAUUUAUAAGCUAUCGCUUAGAGAUGAACCUGCGUACUAUUAGCUAGUUGGUGGGGUAAGAGCCUACCAAGGCGAUGAUAGUUAGGCGGCCUUAACGGGUGGCCGCCCACACUGGGAUUGAGAUACGGCCCAGACUCCUACGGGAGGCAGCAGUCGAGAAUAGUCUACAAUGGACGAAAGUCUGAUAGUGCAAUUCCGCGUGGAUGAAGAAGCAUUUCGGUGUGUAAAAUCCUUUUCUCUGUGAGCAAAGAUCAGAAGGUGAACAAUUUUUUGAUUAAGAUAUUAGCAGAGGAAUAAGCCUCGGCUAACUCCGUG
rnacentral:rRNA from 1 species